AACCCCUGUGAACAUACCAAUUGUUGCCUCGGCGGAUCAGCCCGCUCCCGGUAAAACGGGACGGCCCGCCAGAGGACCCCUAAACUCUGUUUCUAUAUGUAACUUCUGAGUAAAACCAUAAAUAAAUCAAAACUUUCAACAACGGAUCUCUUGGUUCUGGCAUCGAUGAAGAACGCAGCAAAAUGCGAUAAGUAAUGUGAAUUGCAGAAUUCAGUGAAUCAUCGAAUCUUUGAACGCACAUUGCGCCCGCCAGUAUUCUGGCGGGCAUGCCUGUUCGAGCGUCAUUUCAACCCUCAAGCCCCCGGGUUUGGUGUUGGGGAUCGGCGAGCCUCACGGCAAGCCGGCCCCGAAAUACAGUGGCGGUCUCGCUGCAGCUUCCAUUGCGUAGUAGUAAAACCCUCGCAACUGGUACGCGGCGCGGCCAAGCCGUUAAACCCCCAACUUCUGAAUGUUGACCUCGGAUCAGGUAGGA
rnacentral:rRNA from 1 species